rnacentral:rRNA from 1 species
CCUACGGGUGGCAGCAGUGAGGAAUAUUGGUCAAUGGACGAGAGUCUGAACCAGCCAAGUAGCGUGAAGGAUGACUGCCCUAUGGGUUGUAAACUUCUUUUAUAUGGGAAUAAAAUGUUCCACGUGUGGGAUUUUGUAUGUACCAUAUGAAUAAGGAUCGGCUAACUCCGUGCCAGCAGCCGCGGUAAUACGGAGGAUCCGAGCGUUAUCCGGAUUUAUUGGGUUUAAAGGGAGCGUAGGUGGAAUGUUAAGUCAGUUGUGAAAGUUUGCGGCUCAACCGUAAAAUUGCAGUUGAAACUGGCAGUCUUGAGUACAGUAGAGGUGGGCGGAAUUCGUGGUGUAGCGGUGAAAUGCUUAGAUAUCACGAAGAACUCCGAUUGCGAAGGCAGUUCACUGGACUGCAACUGACACUGAGGCUCGAAAGUGUGGGUAUCAAACAGGAUUAGAUACCCUAGUAGUC